CAGAGGCGAUGAAGGACGUGCUAAUCUGCGAUAAGCGUCGGUGAGGUGAUAUGAACCGUUAUAACCGGCGAUUUCCGAAUGGGGAAACCCAGUGUGUUUCGACACACUAUCAUUAACUGAAUCCAUAGGUUAAUGAGGCGAACCGGGGGAACUGAAACAUCUAAGUACCCCGAGGAAAAGAAAUCAACCGAGAUUCCCCCAGUAGCGGCGAGCGAACGGGGAGGAGCCCAGAGCCUGAAUCAGUGUGUGUGUUAGUGGAAGCGUCUGGAAAGGCGCGCGAUACAGGGUGACAGCCCCGUACACAAAAAUGCACAUAUUGUGAGCUCGAUGAGUAGGGCGGGACACGUGGUAUCCUGUCUGAAUAUGGGGGGACCAUCCUCCAAGGCUAAAUACUCCUGACUGACCGAUAGUGAACCAGUACCGUGAGGGAAAGGCGAAAAGAACCCCGGCGAGGGGAGUGAAAAAGAACCUGAAACCGUGUACGUACAAGCAGUGGGAGCCUCUUAAUGGGGUGACUGCGUACCUUUUGUAUAAUGGGUCAGCGACUUAUAUUCUGUAGCAAGGUUAACCGAAUAGGGGAGCCGAAGGGAAACCGAGUCUUAACUGGGCGUUAAGUUGCAGGGUAUAGACCCGAAACCCGGUGAUCUAGCCAUGGGCAGGUUGAAGGUUGGGUAACACUAACUGGAGGACCGAACCGACUAAUGUUGAAAAAUUAGCGGAUGACUUGUGGCUGGGGGUGAAAGGCCAAUCAAACCGGGAGAUAGCUGGUUCUCCCCGAAAGCUAUUUAGGUAGCGCCUCGUGAAUUCAUCUCCGGGGGUAGAGCACUGUUUCGGCAAGGGGGUCAUCCCGACUUACCAACCCGAUGCAAACUGCGAAUACCGGAGAAUGUUAUCACGGGAGACACACGGCGGGUGCUAACGUCCGUCGUGAAGAGGGAAACAACCCAGACCGCCAGCUAAGGUCCCAAAGUCAUGGUUAAGUGGGAAACGAUGUGGGAAGGCCCAGACAGCCAGGAUGUUGGCUUAGAAGCAGCCAUCAUUUAAAGAAAGCGUAAUAGCUCACUGGUCGAGUCGGCCUGCGCGGAAGAUGUAACGGGGCUAAACCAUGCACCGAAGCUGCGGCAGCGACGCUUAUGCGUUGUUGGGUA
rnacentral:rRNA from 1 species